UACGUAGGGUGCAAGCGUUGUCCAGAAUUAUUGGGCGUAAAGAGCUCGUAGGCGGUUUGUCACGUCUGCUGUGAAAACUCGGGGCUUAACUCCGGGCCUGCAGUGGGUACGGGCAGACUAGAGUGCGGUAGGGGAGACUGGAAUUCCUGGUGUAGCGGUGAAAUGCUUAGAUAUGACUUAGAACACCAAUUGCGAAGGCAGCUUACUAAACAGAUAUUGACGCUGAGGCACGAAAGCGUGGGGAUCAAACAGG
rnacentral:rRNA from 1 species